rnacentral:rRNA from 1 species
UAGAAAAGCCUCUAGCGAGUGUUAAAGCCGCCCGUACCCCAAACCGACACAGGUGGUCAGGUAGAGAAUACUAAGGCGAUCGAGAUAACUAUGGUUAAGGAACUCGGCAAAAUGCCCCCGUAACUUCGGGAGAAGGGGGGCCCGUUCUGGUGAGGAGAUUUACUCUCCGAGCUGGGAUUGGCCGCAGAGACCAGGCCCAAGCGACUGUUUACUAAAAACACAGGUCCAUGCUAAGUCGCAAGACGCUGUAUAUGGACUGACGCCUGCCCGGUGCUGGAACGUUAAGGGGACGGGUUAGCGACUUCGGUCGCGAAGCUCAGAACUUAAGCGCCAGUAAACGGCGGUGGUAACUAUAACCAUCCUAAGGUAGCGAAAUUCCUUGUCGGGUAAGUUCCGACCUGCACGAAUGGCGUAACGACUUGGGCGCUGUCUCAACCGUAGACUCGGCGAAAUUGCACUACGAGUAAAGAUGCUCGUUACGCGCGGCAGGACGGAAAGACCCCGGGACCUUUACUACAGCUUGGUAUUGGUGGUCGAUUCGAUUUGUGUAGGAUAGGUGGGAGACUGUGAACUUCGGACGCCAGUUCGAAGGGAGUCAUCGUUGAAAUACCACUCUGAUCGUAUUGGCUGUCUAACCUAGAUCCGUAAUCCGGAUCAGGGACAGUGCCUGGUGGGUAGUUUAACUGGGGCGGUUGCCUCCUAAAAUGUAACGGAGGCGCUCAAAGGUUCCCUCAGCCUGGUUGGCAAUCAGGUAUCGAGUGUAAGUGCACAAGGGAGCUUGACUGUGAGACUGACGGGUCGAGCAGGGACGAAAGUCGGAACUAGUGAUCCGGCGCUGGCAAGUGGAAGCGGCGUCGCUCAACGGAUAAAAGGUACCCCGGGGAUAACAGGCUGAUCUUGCCCAAGAGUCCAUAUCGACGGCAUGGUUUGGCACCUCGAUGUCGGCUCGUCGCAUCCUGGGGCUGGAGUAGGUCCCAAGGGUUGGGCUGUUCGCCCAUUAAAGCGGCACGCGAGCUGGGUUUAGAACGUCGUGAGACAGUUCGGUCCCUAUCCGCCGCGCGCGUAAGAGUCUUGAGAAGAUCUGUCCCUAGUACGAGAGGACCGGGAUGGACGAACCUCUGGUGUGUCAGUUGUCCUGCCAAGGGCACUGCUGAUUAGCUACGUUCGGAAGAGAUAACCGCUGAAAGCAUCUAAGCGGGAAACUCGCUUCAAGAUGAGGGCUCUCACAGGGUUAACCUGGUAAGGCCCCCAGUAGACCACUGGGUUGAUAGGCCGGAAGUGGAAGUGCGGUAACGCAUGCAGCUGACCGGUACUAAUAGGCCGAGGACUUGACCC